AAAAAAAAAAAAAAAAAAAAAAAUGGAAAGGAGGAUCCUUUGGACAAUAGCGUUACGUGUCACAUUCCUUCCUUCCGGGCAGAGUUUUGCAUUUCACAGUCUAGUUUGCAUCCCCUUCACAGAUACUUUCAGAGCUUUUAAAGUAAAUUACUUGAAUUAAAUUGAUUUGCAGGAACUUUCCCAGAUCCAAUCACCUUUCCUCCUGGAUCCCCCACGGAAUUCCCAGUUCCCAGACCGCUGAGCUGCAGGCAACUCCCUAGCAGAAUCCAGUCCAACCCGCUGGCAAAAAUAGUUUUGAGAUUAGCCGCUUUCGUCUUGGUAAGAGGAAAACAUUUUCCUUUCCAACACAAGGGGCCCCCACAACGCUAAGCUUUUACCUUAAAACUGCACAGGCUCCGCCCCCGGCCCGCCCCGGGCACCGCCCCCGGCACCGCCCCGGGCUAACUGGCUCUUCUCUGCGCGCAUGCGCAGUUUCCUGCAGUCCCGGAAGCAGGUCGCGGUGUGGGCAGGUGACGCCGACGAGCGUCAAUGUACCUCUGUGUAGCUUAGACCUUCGAUUCGCCGUCCCCGUUUCCACACCUCGGUGCCCGGGUGUCUCUGCUGACCUUAAAGUCCCCACACCUCCACCCCAGUAUAUCUUGAGCUCUGUUCUCUGAAUGUGGAGUGACCCUCAGCUUACCCCUUGGAGUUCUGGUAUCCGUCCACACCCACUGCCCUUCCUCAUCAUCUCAUCUCAUGGCUUUAACCCCGCCUGCAGGGCUCCAUGUUCCCUGUAGACCUUUCCCCUGAACACUGGAAUCCUGGGUCCAGUUGCCCCCUCGACUCUCCUCUGGGAGUCCAGCAGGCAUCUCCACUUUCAUGUGUUCAGAAGUGACUGAGCUUCCCAGACACAUUCCCCCUGCAAUCCUGCACAUCUCAGAUGAGGGCGACUCUGGAUUUCAGGUGACUUAGCUGAACAUGUCAACAUGUAUUAAAAUUAGUAAAUAAU